AGCCUCAUUUUAGAUGAAAAUGGGCACUGCUGUUAUUGGGGUCCAGAAAUUAACGUGACUACACUGAGAGAGACACAGUUUUGCUUCCAUCACAGUAAUCUUACUGCAGUGGUGAUAAUGUGACCUGUGACAUGU
ensembl:snoRNA